ensembl:snoRNA
AGCACAGCUUCAGGUUUUGGCUAGUCCUGUCAGCAGAAAACCAUGAAGCGAGUGCUAAGAGCAUAUUCUUCUUUGCAACCCAUGGCUGAUUCGUAUUAGCUGUGUUACUUACAGGAAGGAACAUA